AUCCUUUUCUGUUCAUCAGCAUGAUGACUGGGUGUUCACACUGCUGUAUGAGAGGUGUCUCCCUUGUUAUAGCACUGGCAUAUGACUUGUCUGAU
rnacentral:snoRNA from 1 species